AAACACGUGUAACACGACAAAUUCAUGUUAAACGGGAGACCCAUUUAGACUGCGCAUAAGAAUGUAAACGUUCGGAAUGCGAUGAAAAACGAUAGUAUGGAGAAUGUAACGAUUCUUCAUUCAUUUCUGAUCAAGCAAUAUGCUGAUACUUGCUCAGAAAGCCAAGGUUUAUAUCAUGGCUUCUCGAAGGCAACGAGAAUAAACGGAUCAUGUCAGCCGAAAUAUGACAGCUAAAAGUGAUAUACUUGCCUGUUUUUGUUAUAAUUCACGGUUUUGAGAUCUGAUCUUACAUGAAACUGUGUAUACCGACCUAUUUCAUUGUUCCUGGUAUACUACCAAUCAACUUAUGUGAAUGUAUGAGAUCAAUUUCAUUGCUGAGGAAUCUUAAAACACCAAAAGAACAACACUAUUGUAGAAGAAGGUUUAAGUGGCUUAGCUUUUUUGUGAAUUCAUUCAGAAAUUAUUCCUGACAUAGAACGAGUUAUUGAUGAGUUUGCUGAAGGUAAUAUCUGUUUAAAAUUUGCUUUAUGUUUUAUUGAUACGUUACUUUAAAAAUAUCAGACAACGCAACUGGCUACUGUAAUGCUUUAUUGUUUAAAAAAUGUCAGACAGUGCUUAAUAACAUUAAAUAACAUUAUUGCUUUACACUACAAACACUGAAGAGCCCUGACAUUUGCGAGUUUGGAAAAAAACUAAAAAACAACAA